rnacentral:misc_RNA from 1 species
CUAUUUAGAGUUAGAUAACCCCCUUACCCUAAUUACUUCCAUAACUGCUUGAUUCCGUUAUUGUUUCAUCGGUUUCUAUGUCAUAUAAAUAUUUAUCUUCUUCAUGUGUGAUCUCUUGUUGCCUUAAGGCUGCCCUAAUCCAAUCAUCUAAACAUAUUUGAGCUUCUAAUAAUUAAGGAACCAUUUUGAAUUGUGUCUCAUCUAAUAUACUAAACCCUGCACUAAAAGCUUGUUCAACUGCAACUGUGGAGACUGGUGCUGCUAAAAUUUGUUUAGCAAUUAGUGCAAGGGUGGGAAAAGUAUUUGCAUGUCGACGCCACCAAUCAAGUACUGGAAAUUCUUUACCUGCACUAUUAUCACCAAACUCGAAAAUAGUGGUUAAAUAAAUAUCAAAUUCAGAAUUAUUACCAAGUGAUCCUCUAGGCCUUUUUUGCCUUUAUAAUAAAGCUUGAUCAUCCAUGCUUAUUAUAGAGAAUGGUUCAUUCUGAACUUUAUUAGAAGGCUGAAAUUGGGAAACUAACUGUUGGCUAGAAGAACAAAAUUCACUAUAUAAAUCUAAAAUUAAUUUUCUAGUUUCAAUAAUUAUUGUAUAAACAUCAAAAUCAAUCUCAUCAUCAAGAUUUAAAUAUAAAUAAUAAAGAGACAAAUAAUCAUUUAAACCAUCUAAUUUACAUCUAGGAUCAAAAACACAAGCAACAAGAUAAAGUGGAGGAAUAUUUUUGAAAUAAUUUAACCAUUUUUUUUUCAUGCUAGAAAUGCAAUCUUUUAAAUUAACAUCAUUUUCAUGGUCUUGCAAUGCACCAAUAAUAUUAAGACAUUCAAUCAUAAAUAAAUGAGAUGUAGGAUAAUAAACACCACUCAAUGUAUAUGUAGCAUCAUUAAAAACUUUUAAAAUAUCCAAAAGUUUUGUACAAAUGUCCCAAUUUUGUGGAUAUAGUUGAACUUGUGGCACAUUAUUGCUAAUAAAUGUGCACAAUAAAUCUCUAUAUCCAAAUGACUCGUUUAGUAAUUCAUAUGUUGAAUUCCAACGAGUGGGAACAUCUCUUGGAAAUCUUUUUGGUCUUUUAUUAUUUAUUUUACAAAAUUUAGCCCAUUCUUUCAUAAUUUGAGGAUGUCCCCAUAAAAAUGAAAUUGCUUUUUUGAUGGGAGAAAUAAAUUCAUCUAGGGUUCUUAAACCAUCUUGCACACACAAAUUUAAUACAUGACAUGCACACCUAAUAUGAAAAAAUUUUCCCCCAAAAUUGGGUUGGCAAAUUUUUUUAAGGUCAUUAAUUGAUGCAGAAUUUGCAGCAGCAUUAUCAAAACCAAUUGAAAAAAUUUUAUAAACUAAUCUAUAUUCUUCUAAAAUAUUUUUAAUCAUUCUAUAAAUAUUAUCAGCAGUAUGUCUCUCAUCAAAAACACGAAAUGCAAUUAUUCUUUUUUGCAUGAUCCAAUCAUCACUAAUCCAAUGACAUGUUAUGCCCAUAUAUGAAUGCAUUUGCCAAUGAUCACUCCAAAUAUCACUACAAAUAGAAACUUGUGCACUCAUAUUUAAAAAAAUUUCUUGUAAUUCUUUUUUUCCUUUUUUAAAUAAAGAAAAAACACUUCGUUUCAAAGUAUUUCUAGGAAUACGUUUUGCAUUAGGAUUUAAAGCAUUUUGACAAUAAUUAAUAAAACCAAGUUUUUCACCAAAAUUAAAUGAUAAAUGCUCAACACAAAUCAUUUUUGCUAAUUCUUCUUUAUUUUUUUGAUCAGAAUAUUGAAAUAAAGAUUGAGAUUUAGAAUUUGUGUACCCGGAUAUUUGAGUUUGAGACUUAUCAUACCCAAUUUUGGUCGGAUGCUUUUGCUCCAAAUGCCUAUUGAAUGUGCCAUAUCCACCUCCCAUUUUGAACUUGUAGACUUGACCACAGUAAUUGCAAAUUACAUCAAAUGUAUUUUCAGAUCUUCGUUUUUUUGUAAAGUGGACUUUGAAAAUGUCGGACGUGAGUGCUUUUUUUACUUCAACUUUCUCAGCUUGUUGAUUUUGGCUUUCUUGAGUGUGGUGGAAUAACUCUUGAACUUCAACAUCAUUAUCAUCAUCCCCAAUUUGCUCCAUUAUGUUGUCUAAAUCAACUGCGGUAAGCUCAUUUGGAUUUGGGUAUGUUGAUUCACCAACCUUACUUUUCCCUUGCUACUUGAUGAACUUUUAAAUCCACUACUUGCUAUUUUCUCCAAAAAAAAAAAUGGUAUGAUGAAUUUGAAAAUUAAUAAAAAAUAGUGUAGAAGAUAACAAAAAUAGAAGGUAUUAGAAAUUUAAAAAAAAAGAUACUAGAAAUUUGAAAAUAAAAAAAAAUAGUGUAGAAUAUUAAAAAGAAAAUAGAGGUAGUAGAAAUUUUUAUGAGGAUAUAAAAAAAUAGAGUAAUAGAGAAAAUAUUAAAUUUUAAUGAUAGUAUAAAAAAAAUAAUAAUAGAGUUAUUGAGUAAAAUAAUGAGGUAUUAUAAAUUUUUAUGAGUGUAUAAAAAAAAUGUAGAAAUUUAGAGAAUAUUAAGAGGUAAAGAGAGAUUUAAGAAUAAUUGUAUAGAGAAUUUGAGAGAUUUGAGAGAAUUUAAGAGUUAUGUAAAUGAAUUAAAGGGGUGAGUUGGGGUAUUCAUAGAGUUUUUACAAAUUUUUAUUUCCAAAAUUAUCCCUAAAAAUUUUAUUUUUACUGUUUAAGGGACUAAAGAGUAAUUUUAUAAUAAAAUUUAAAAAAUAUAUAAAUAACGUUAACAAUUUUUACCAUUUGAAAUUAAAAAAAAAAUGUAAACUGUUGCAUUUUUACCGUUGAAAUUAAAAAAAAUGAUUAGAAUAUUUUUUUUAAUGAGGAAAUGACCCAUGAAUGACAGUUGCAGAGUGCAGGGGAGGUAUAGGACUGCUGGUGCAGCGCAAGCUAGCUCCACUCUAGCCUACAGCUUUGCAGUGUGACUGUGCAGGUUUAAAUCGAACCGUCGGUUUGAUUCAGUUCUAAAUCAAUGGUUUUAAAACAAAUUGAACCGACAAUUCAACAGUUUCAUAAUAUCUUGAACCUGAACCAAACCAUGCAGAAAUGGUUUAGGUUCGGUUGAAUAACGGUUUCGGUUUUGACCGGUUUUGGUCCGAGUUUGACCGGUCCAGUUCGGUUCCGGUUCCGAACCGGACAGUGGCCACCCCUAUUUCUAUCUAUUAAAAGUGGAUGCUUUUUCAAUUUUUGGCAUCUUUAAAUCAACCAAUUAGUUGUGAAAGGAGCCAGGGUAGGGAUGAUUAAUCUGCAGUGGAACUCUUUAGCUUGUGAAACUUGAGUCUUUUGCUAACUGGUGAUUUAAUGUGCAAAAAGCAAUUCUUUUUGUUCGCAUUGAAAUUAUUUCAAGUAUUAUCACAAUAGUAACCACCAAGUUAUUUGCAUUAUCCUUUUGGCAUUUUCAAACUUCCCAAUUAGUUGAUAUGUUUGCCUUAAAAAGAGCUGGUAUAUAGAGAUGAUUGAAAUUGUAAUUUGAAAAUUAAAACUUUGAGUCUUACUCCUAACUAGCAAUUUAACAUGCAAAAAGCAAUUCUUUUUGGUCAUCUUGAAAUCAUUUAUUGUUGUCACCACCUGCAUUCUGUUGUCAGUCUCAUAUCAAGCACGAUUUAAGUGAGACUCUUUUUUAUAAUUUCACUUUAAGCAUAGCAUCUAAAAAAUUUGGAGAGAAAUUUGUGGCUUGAAUUUUAGAAACUGCCAAUUUUCCAAUUAUGGGACAUGCUAUGGAAGCUUAGCUUUAAGCUCUACAUUCUGCUUUAACCUUACCUGUAUUGUGAACUUGUCAUACUUUAGCUGCAUUAAACUCUAAUGUUUUUAGGAGUCAUAAUGGAAAAGGAAACCAGUUGUGUCCUUCUGAACUGACAAUUUAUAAUCCGGUACUUGUUUGUACAUUUUUUUAUUUAUAUUAUGUUUCUGCACACUACGUUAUGUAUCUGCUUUUCUUUCCAGGGGGUCCAAAAGCAGCAUGUGUUGGUUGUGCUGGGUUUGCUGCAUUCUCA